rnacentral:rRNA from 1 species
UCUCUUCCGGACCUUUCGCCGUAUGGGCGCGGGGCGACCCGCGUCUUCAUAUACCUCUUCGUGUAGAAAGUCUUUGAAUGUUUUACCAUCAUCGAGUCGCGACUUCUAGGAGACGCGAUUCUUUGAGAAAAAAGUUAUUACAACUUUCAGCAACGGAUCUCUUGGCUCUCGCAUCGAUGAAGAACGCAGCGAAUCGCGAUAUGUAAUGUGAAUUGCAGAUCUACAGUGAAUCAUCGAAUCUUUGAACGCACCUUGCGCUCCUCGGUGUUCCGAGGAGCAUGCCUGUUUGAGUGUCAGUAAAUUCUCAACCCCUCUCGAUUUGCUUCGAGCGGGUGCUUGGAUGUUGGGGGCUGCCGGAGACACUGGAUUCGUCCAGGACUCGGGCUCCUCUUAAAUGAAUCGGCUCGCGGUCGACUUUCGACUUUGCAUGACAAGGCCUUUGGCGUGAUAAUGAUCGCCGUUCGCCGAAGUGCAAGACAGAAUGGUCCCGUGCCUCUAAUGCGUCGACGCCUCUAGGGGCGUCUUCCUCAUUGACGUUUGACCUCAAAUCAGGUAGGACUACCCGCUGAACUUAAGCAUAUCAAUAAGCGGAGGAAAAGAAACUAACAAGGAUUCCCCUAGUAACUGCGAGUGAACCGGGAAAAGCUCAAAUUUU